UGCAAGUCGAACGAGACCUUCGGGUCUAGUGGCGCACGGGUGCGUAACGCGUGGGAAUCUGCCCUUGGGUUCGGAAUAACUCAGAGAAAUUUGAGCUAAUACCGGAUGAUGACGUAAGUCCAAAGAUUUAUCGCCCAGGGAUGAGCCCGCGUAGGAUUAGCUAGUUGGUGAGGUAAAGGCUCACCAAGGCGACGAUCCUUAGCUGGUCUGAGAGGAUGAUCAGCCACACUGGGACUGAGACACGGCCCAGACUCCUACGGGAGGCAGCAGUGGGGAAUAUUGGACAAUGGGCGAAAGCCUGAUCCAGCAAUGCCGCGUGAGUGAUGAAGGCCUUAGGGUUGUAAAGCUCUUUUACCCGGGAUGAUAAUGACAGUACCGGGAGAAUAAGCUCCGGCUAACUCCGUGCCAGCAGCCGCGGUAAUACGGAGGGAGCUAGCGUUGUUCGGAAUUACUGGGCGUAAAGCGCACGUAGGCGGCUAUUCAAGUCAGAGGUGAAAGCCUGGAGCUCAACUCCAGAACUGCCUUUGAAACUAGAUAGCUUGAAUCCAGGAGAGGUGAGUGGAAUUCCGGGUGUAGCGGUGAAAUGCGUAGAUAUCCGGAGGAACACCGGUGGCGAAGGCGGCUUCCUGGACCGACACUGACGCUGAGGCGCGAAAGCUA
rnacentral:rRNA from 1 species